GUUAGUGACGAGAUUUCAAGCGUUAAACUCGUGUGCUUUCCCAUAAGCUAACCGUAAAGAAAUAUUGAACAUAAAAUUUGCUUUGAACAUACUUUUACAUAUAUACAAAACAUAUAUCUAUAUAUCAAAUAAAAACUAUAUAAAAAUUGAAACGUCUUAUAAGUCAAACGGGAAAACAUUUGAAAAAAGUUGAGAUUUAGUGCUAAUAUUCAAGUUACUGAGUUACAAAACCAAGAUUUGAACAUUUUUUUUUUUUUUUGUGUUUUAUUUAAUUUUCGUGCGUGCAUGCGUGUGCAUAGUUAGAGUGCAAAAACAGAUACAUAUAUACAUGUAGAUAAAUGUACGCCUAAUCCAACUUCAAUUGGUACUCUCUCUGUACGUAGCGAAAAAAUUCAUAGCUUAACAACAGACAGAAAAACAAAACAUAAAAAAUAAUACAUAAAAAAAAAAAAAAAAAAGUUAAAUUUAUUUAAAUAAAAAAAAAAAAAAAAAAACAACAUAUUCAUACAAUAACGAACCUGCAGUGAAUUUAAAAUCGCAACAAAAUAAAUAAAAGAAAAAAAAAACAUUCAAAAAGAGUAAGUUAAGAAAAUUUGUAAUUUUUUUAAAUCCCAGCUUCAUUAUACGAAUAAAUGGUUUUUUAAUUUACUCUACUAAAGCUGCUAAAAAGUAUUUCAAGUAAACAAACAGAAUAAUAACCGAAUUAUUCUUCUUCUUCUUCUUCAAAAGAAAAAAAAAACAAAAAAAAACAUUUUUAUUUAUUUGUUUAUUUACUCGUGGUUACCAAGUGAAACGUCAUUAAACAAACAAAAAAAAAAAAAAAAAAAAAA